rnacentral:rRNA from 1 species
UACGGAGGGGGCUAGCGUUGUUCGGAAUUACUGGGCGUAAAGCGCACGUAGGCGGGUUGCUAAGUCAGGGGUGAAAUCCUGGAGCUCAACUCCAGAACUGCCUUUGAUACUGGCGGCCUUGAGUCCGGGAGAGGUGAGUGGAACUGCGAGUGUAGAGGUGAAAUUCGUAGAUAUUCGCAAGAACACCAGUGGCGAAGGCGGCUCACUGGCCCGGUACUGACGCUGAGGUGCGAAAGCGUGGGGAGCAAACAGG